rnacentral:lncRNA from 1 species
GAUUUUUCAUCCAGAUAGUCCUUAUAGCCUUUAACUGAGAAAAUUAUUGGAAUGACUAUUUGGAUGAAAAAUCAUGACUUUAAGGACUAUUCAGAUUAAAAUAAAACCACAAUGACUAAACAGAUGUCGACUUCAAACCAUAAGGACUAAACAAAUUUCAAUUCUUGAAAUAAAAUAUUCCGCUUAGAGUUUUCUUCUCCUCUACGAAAACAAUGUAUGUGAAGACACCAAGCCCUAAUCAGAAAUAGCUAGCAACAACUCAUCUAGAAAAAAAAACUAUACGUAGAACCUUCAAACGCAAAAAAGUCGUGAAAUAAGAUAUGACUAGAAUGGUGAAAUACGUCUAUGAUUGAAAAAUCACGGUAUUCCGGUAAAGUCUCGGUGCCGAUAGUUGCGGUCAAUGCAAUUUACCCUUAUUAUUCACUAUGCUACAGAUUUGGCGUUCGGUGUCUAAUUGACUAUUGUGAUACCUUUCCAGAAGCGUAACGGCCCUACGAGUCAAAAUCAUUGUUUUGCCCUGACAUAUGGGCCUUUUUGGCCAUCCAAGUCUGUUUAGGGCUUCAAAAUGCUGUUUUUUUAUUUCCGAUUAGAGUUGACCGUUUCGAUCGAGCCCUUAACGUUGUCGAAUCCAGUUGAAUUUUUUACCAUAGACAUAUUUCUUCAUAAUGAUCAUAUCUGACGGUCGAAUUUUGGUUUUUAAAUUUUAGUCAUCGGAAUCACAACGUGUCUACUAUUUACCGUUAUUAUUCCUUAUGGGGAGCCCUAUCGUCGGAAGAUAAAUGUCUCAAAACUUUUAUAUGGGCAGUUGCGUCUCAUCUACGUGAGAGUUUUUCGUGUGGAAGGUUUGACCAAACUACGUAAUAUAGAGGGAGAUAUGAGCGUUUUCGUGUGAUAAGUAACGAUGGAUUAGGGUUGACCGUUUCGAUCGAGCCCUUAACGUUGUCGGAUCCAGUUGAAUUUUUUACCAUAGACAUCUUUUGUCAUAAUGAUCAUAUCUGACGGUCGAAUUUUGGUUUGUAAAUUUUAGUCAUCGGAAUCACAACGUGUCUACUAAUGUUGUAUAACUUGUUUAAUAGGUUAUAUAACUUUGUAAACCAACUCUACAUAGGAAGAAAAAUUAUCAAAAAUCUCGUGAAAUAAGAUGUGUUCAGAAUGGUGAAAUAAGGCUAUGGUUCAAAAAUCUCGUAAAUCGGGUAACGUCUCGGUGCCGAUAGUAGCGGUCAACCCUAUUUACCGUUAUUAUUCCCUAUGGGGAGCCCUAUCGUCGGAAGGUAAAUGUCUCAAAAUUUUGAUAUAGGCGGUUGUGUCUCAUCUAUGUGAAAUUUUUUCAUGUGGAAGGUUUGACCAAACUACGUAAUAUAGAGGGAGAUAUGAGCGUUUUCGUGAAUUUAUAGACUUUAGCCGACGAGAUAUCAAAAAAGUCGUCAGCUAAGGUCAAAAAUUGUUUGGCGGUAAACCAAAUUUAGAGGAAAAUUUUCAAAUGACUUUAGCCGACGAAAAUAUAUGAAAAGUCGUCGGCUAAAGUCAAAAAAAAAAUUUGGCGGCAAACCAAAUUUGGGGGAAAAUUUUCAAAGGACUUACACCGACGAAAAUAUAUGAUUUCGUCGGCUAUUGUCAAAAAAUUUUGGCAGUCAACCAAAAUUUUCAAAGGAGUUUAGCCGACGAAAAUUAAGAAUUUUGUCGGGUAAAGCUCUUUAUAUAGGAGUUUUACCGGAGGUGGAUGGUAAGAAGUCAGAAAAUCAGAAAAAGUUACUGUUUCGCCUGCCGGAUUUUCUUCUCGACCUAGCUCCGCCGUCAAGCCACCGGAGACCGCAACACUUGUCCCAAAAGCUUCGCCGUCAUCUCUAUUUCAUUGCUGGACAGGUGGUGUAUCGAGUGGCGCCGCCGUGAGGGAUAAAUCGAGCUCCAAAACUCUGCCGGUUCGGAUUCGGUGUCGAUCGAAUUUCUCUUUCCUCAGGUCACCAUUUGGUGAGUUCUAUAUAUGGAUAAGUUGAGUUUGAUUAGUACUACAUUCCCCUAGAAUUUGGUAGCUCGAUUCGGUGUGUGUGAGGAGAAUCGAAGAUUUGAAGUUUUUAGGGUUUAAAAUUGGGGAUUUUUAUAUUUUUAUUCAAUUGACCUGUUUAGGCUUAGAAUUGGGCUUCGAUUUCUUCUAGAAAGUUGUUCGAAAUGUUGAGAGGAAGAUUCUGUCAAAUUUUGGUGGUGAUUGGAGGUGGCCGAAAGUUUCUGCAGUUUUUUUUUCAAAAACCAGCAACUUUAGCCGACGAUAUUUAAAUACUUUAGCCGAAGAUAUUCGUCGGCUAUAGUAUUUUUUAAUUUUUUUAUAAGGUUUAGCCGACGAAACAUACCAUAAUUCGUCGGCUAAACCCUCCUAAAGCCGACGAAAUAGACUAUAUUUCGUCGGCUAUAGUUAUUUUUUUAAUUUUUUAUUACAUAUUUUAGCCGACAAAAUGCGUCGGCUAAAGUCUGGGACAAUAGCCGACGACGUCUUCUAUCGUCGGCCAAAUACUUGGACAAUAGCCGACGACGGUUUCUAGUUUCGUUGGCUAAAGUCAUCGUUGACGAUCCUUUCCCGACGAAACUAUAGCCGACGAAGGCUCGUCGGCUAAGAUCUUAGCUGACGAAUUAAGCUAACAGGCCGACGAAACUUUUUCGUCGGCUAAAAUGCUUGUCCUGGUAGUGCUAGCUACUUCAUGAUGCUUAGGAGAGAGAUUACUUUUCUGGUUGUGACUUGGAGCUAAGAGCAUUUCCACAUCGACAUAGCAGAAUCAUUACUUCUUAAUUUCCGAUAAAUUUCUUCUGUCUAAUAUCCAUUUGGAUUUUGGACCUCUUCUAUUCAAAAUUACUACACUGCGAUCGAGUUUCAACAUCAACCAUACAAACAAUAGUAGUGCGGUCGGGGCUACUUCUUGUUAGAGAUUGUUGUAGGUUUCAUACCACUGUUAGGAUAUGCGAUUUGUUACUAUAUAACAAAAUAUGUUACAGAAGUGUUUAGUAUGUGAUGGGAUACGACACAGUGUUUAAGAUGGAUUAUGUGAUGGGAUAAGACAUAGAGUUUAAGAUAUUGAUAUGUAGGAGCUAGACUUAGGAGAUUAUUAAAACUAGGAUAUAAAGAAGGCUUAUGCAAAUUGUGGAUCAUGCUCUUAUUGCCACUCUAGAAGAAGAGACUGCAAUUACAACAACAAACAAUGAAG